ACAAAUGACAAACUCAACCGGAAAGGGAGGAACUGUCAUCUUAAAAGCUAACCCGGAAGUGAUAACUGGAGCGGUCAUGGUGACCCAAGAUGGACGGCAAUCGAGUUGCGUUUUGCACGUUUGUGGAAAACAUAUGGGCAACUUAAUGCAGUUUUACUUUUCGUGUGGUUGGUCGUGGGAAUUUUUAAAUAGCAGGGAACACACGGAAGGACCAGAGGCACAGAAGACUUCUCAACAGCCGGAUAAUGCCAAACAAACAGAAAAACCUUGAGCAUCAUACAAACAGUUCCUGGAGUACAGAAGCUUAAAGUCCAAUGAGCAUCAGCCAUUUAACUAUGGUCCGAGAAGACGGCAUCGAGCUAAAGAACGAAAACAAGUCCAGGUAAACUGCACUAUGAUGACAGUGUUAUUAAUACCCGGCUGUUUUACUCGAGGUGGCUUAGAAAUGGAUCUGUCUGAUAGUGAAUUUCUUUUACAGACUGACUUAUAUUAAAAAAGAAAAAUGAAAGUCUCUGAAGCUGAUAUCUUGACGUAGAUUCUGUGACAUAUCAGCUACGGGCCAAAGCACUGUAUAACCAUUUGGAGAUAUAGCCUAUAAACUGGUAUAGCUCGCUGUGAAGCUCUGGUGGCACAAAUUAGACCAUGGAGGGUCUAAUUUUAUUAUUUUUAUUUGUUUCACAGAAAAAAAAUUAUUUUGGUGAGGACAUGGAUCCACCUGAAACAAGUCCAGACAAGAGGAGCUACAGGUAAAACAAACAAAACAAAAAAAAUAAUGGGGAAGAAAUUAUUUUUUGUUAAAUAUUUUAACAUGAAAACUGUAAUUUACCAACAGUAAGUACAUAGAUCUGUAUGCACCAGGUGUUGAGGAAGAGGAUGAGGAGUUUGUUGAAGUCAGUGUGGAGAAAUUCCAAGACACAGUGUAAAAUGUAUCUAUAAGUGUGACAUUCCAGUUUUUUCUUUGUGCAACAUUGCUGGUAUUUAAGUAUCUGUUGUUUAAUUGUGCACCAUCUGGGAUAUUCUUUAACUGAAGCACUUGUUGUCUUUGCAGGAUAUACAUGCACACUACACUACAUGACAUUGCAGCAAACCUGUCACUUCCUGUUGAUCACAACAGUGUAAGGAGGUUCAACAUCUCAAAGGCUAAUGUUUGGGAGGGAGGUGUCAGAGGGUUUAAGCGUUCAACAUAUUCUGAAACCUGUGACACGCUGGUCAGAUUUGCUGAUGAUGCUGGUGUUUAUGAGGAGGGUAUUGACACAGGUGGCCCAAGAUGGGAACUUUUAACUCUGCUAAUGAAACACCUGAAAGACCGGCUCAUUUUAGAUGGACGUGAAGGACAUUGGUUCUUGGUCUACAAUGGAAAUGGUAUGCAUAGGAUUAGAAAUGUGCUAUACUAAUGGUUAGUUAAUUAUCACACAGCAUAUCAUUCUCCUCAAUGUCUUAAAGGUGUAUAAUGUAUGUUUUCAUGAAUUCAUUGCAGCUUAAGUUGUGCAUGUUGUGCGUUUCCCCGAUCUUGCACAUUAUCUUGCUGGCCAGCCUUCAUUCAAACCAACUGUUAAUUUAAUAGCAGAUGAAGAAAUAAGGAAAGCUUUGCAAGAGGUGAGGAUAGCAUCUAUAGUGUGAUCAGACAGGCUCAUCUGUUAUUGAAAGGUAAAACAUUUUUAAUGAUGUGAUUGUCUUCUUUUACUAUGUGAUUUUCUUUUAAUGGACAUGUGCAUCUCAUCAGAUAGUGACCGUGACAACAUUUUGGUCGUAUUUGUGUCUGAAACUGUGUUUGUGCUCACUUUAUAGGUUCAAACAUGGUCUUUCAUCCCUUCAGGUCUUGAUUGUACCACAGCAACACCCUACUUUGCUGACCCCUGUCCUGUGCCACUUAGAAAAGCGACUCACUGGCUUUGAACUAGAGAGAUUCUUCAAACCUACACUCAGCCUUUCUGGGAGCAACAGGAGACUAAAAGAAAGUCAAACCCUGACCUAUUGGGCAGACUAUCUCCUCCAUUGUGAAGAAGGCGAGACUGCUUUGUCUGUGGAGAACAUUUUGAUGUUUACAACUAGACUUCCCCCGUCUGGCUUGGAACCAUCGCCACGGAUAGAGUGCCUAGAUUACUCUCCAUUCCCAAUGGCAGAUACAUAUUCAGACUUACUCAAACUACCACUGCUGGAGUCAUACAGUUUGUUCAAGUUUCAGAUAGACUUUGGAAUUCAAAGUAGCCCAGGAUUUGGUUGCCUAUAAAUCAAAACUGGUUAACUCUAAGAGUUACGUCCUCUCACAUCCCUGAGGACUGAGCUACCGGGGCAAAUUCAUGAAAUGAUCCCUCUUCACUUGCAGAUUCUGCUUUUGUUUUAGGUA